rnacentral:tRNA from 1 species
UUCCCGUGUUCUUGGAGAUGGAACGCAGUCUCAAAAAGAUCUUU